rnacentral:rRNA from 1 species
GACGAACGCUGGCGGCGUGCUUAACACAUGCAAGUCGAACGGAAAGGCCCUGCUUGCAGGGUACUCGAGUGGCGAACGGGUGAGUAACACGUGGGUGAUCUGCCCUGCACUUCGGGAUAAGCCUGGGAAACUGGGUCUAAUACCGGAUAGGAGCCAUUUUUAGUGUGAUGGUUGGAAAGUUUUUUCGGUGUAGGAUGAGCUCGCGGCCUAUCAGCUUGUUGGUGGGGUAAUGGCCUACCAAGGCGGCGACGGGUAGCCGGCCUGAGAGGGUGGACGGCCACAUUGGGACUGAGAUACGGCCCAGACUCCUACGGGAGGCAGCAGUGGGGAAUAUUGCACAAUGGGCGCAAGCCUGAUGCAGCGACGCCGCUUGGGGGAUGACGGCCUUCGGGUUGUAAACUCCUUUCGCUAGGGACGAAGCUUUUUGUGACGGUACCUAGAUAAGAAGCACCGGCUAACUACGUG